AACGAACGCUGGCGGCAGGCUUAACACAUGCAAGUCGAACGAGAUCUUCGGAUCUAGUGGCAGACGGGUGAGGAACACGUGGGAACAUCCCUUUCAGUUCGGAAUAACGUUGGGAAACUAACGCUAAUACCGGAUACGUCCUUCGGAAGAAAGAUUUAUCGCUGAAAGAUUGGCCCGCGUCUGAUUAGCUAGUUGGUGAGGUAAUGGCUCACCAAGGCUACGAUCAGUAGCUGAUCUGAGAGGAUGAUCAGCCACAUUGGGACUGAGACACGGCCCAAACUCCUACGGGAGGCAGCAGUGGGGAAUAUUGGACAAUGGGCGCAAGCCUGAUCCAGCCAUGCCGCGUGAGUGAUGACGGCCUUCGGGUUGUAAAGCUCUUUUGUCCGGGAAGAUAAUGACCGUACCGGAAGAAUAAGCCCCGGCAAACUUCGUGCCAGCAGCCGCCGCGG
rnacentral:rRNA from 1 species